GCCGGCCGAGACUUCUGGAUGGCGGCGGCCGCGGCUCCGCCCCGGGUUCCCACCGCCUGAAGGGCGAGACAAGCCCGACCUGCUACAGGCACUCGUGGGGGUGGGGGAGGAGCGGGGGUCGGUCCGGCUGGUUUGUGGGUGGGAGGCGCUUGUUCUCCAAAAACCGGCGCGAGCUGCAAUCCUGAGGGAGCUGCGGUGGAGGAGGUGGAGAGAAGGCCGCACCCUUCUGGGCAGGGGGAGGGGAGUGCCGCAAUACCUUUAUGGGAGUUCUCUGCUGCCUCCCGUCUUGUAAGGACCGCCCUGGGCCUGGAAGAAGCCCUCCCUCCUUUCCUCCUCGCGUGAUCUCGUCAUCGCCUCCAUGUCGAGUCGCUUCUCGAUUAUGGGCGGGAUUCUUUUGCCUAGGCUUAAGGGGCUAACUUGGUCCCUGGGCGUUGCCCUGCAGGGGAGUGAGCAGCUGUAAGAUUUGAGGGGCGACUCCGAUUAGUUUAUCUUCCCACGGACUAGAGUUGGUGUCGAGGUUAUUGUAAUAAGGGUGGGGUAGGGAAAUGGAGCUUAGUCAUUCACCUGGGGCUGAUUUUAUGCAACGAGACUGCGGAUUAUCACUACUUAUCAUUUUUGGAGCAUUUUUCUAGAGACAGACAUAAAGCAUGAUCACCUGAGUUUUAUACCAUUUGAGACCCUUGCUGCACCACCAAAGUGUAGCAUCAGGUUAAAUCUUAAUAGAAAAAUUUUAGCUUUUGCUUGAGAAACCAGUGCUUCCCUCCCUCACCCUCUCUCCCCAGGCUCUCUACCCCUUUGCAUCCCUACCAGGCAUCUUAGCAACUCUCACUCAUACUUGAUCCCAUUUUCCAUUUGUUGUACUUGCUCCUCUAGUAUUCAGACAUAGCACUAGCUUUCUCCCUCUCUUGAUCUUGGGUAGCCUGGUGUCUCGCGAAACCAGACAGAUUGGUUCCACCACAAAUUAAGGCUUGAGCUGGGGCUUGACUCUUACCCAGCAGUGCUUUUAUUCCUCCCUAGUUCACGUUCUUAAAUGUUUAUCUUGAUUUUCAUUUUAUCCUUUUUCCUUAGCUGGGAUUCUGUCCCUGACCGUCUUCACAGUCCAGGUGAUCUUGACUACUGCUUUACAGAGAAUUGGAUCUGAGGUUAGGCAACAUCUCCCUUUUUCUUCCUCUAAAUACCUCUCAUUUCUGUUCUUACCAGUUAGUAACUGAUCUCAGAUGCCUGUGUGAUAGCUUCCAAAUUGCUGUCUCUGUCUUUAGUGUUAUCUUUUGAUCCAUCUUACAUCUUGUUAGGAUGAUUGUCCUAAAGGAAGAUAGAGCAUGAAAAUGACAGGUGAAACUCCAUUACUGGCUUGUACUGUUUACAGCAAGUUGUCUAACCCGCGGGCCGCAUGGGACCCAGGACAGCUUUGAAUGCGACCCAACACAAAUUCGUAAACUUUCUUAAAGUUUUAGGAGUUUUUUUUGCGGGGUGUUUUUUUUGUUGUUGUUGUCUGUUUUUUUUUUUUGCUCAUCAGCUGUCCUUUAUAUGUGGCCCAAGACAGUUCUUGCAGUGUGGCCCAGGGAAGCCGAAAGAUUGGACACCCCUGGUUUACAGGAUGAAUUCUGUUCUCGUGAAUGUGAUGCAUAAGGUCCCUGGAUAGACUUUCCUCAAUUUAACAGCUUUUUCAUUUUUCACUAUUUUCCACAUACUACACACACAAAUAUGACCUCUCUCCUGAAGUCACAUGGAAUGAAUUGCAGUUACCCAAAUCAUAGAGACGUCAUAUAUCUUUGUGGGGUGGUUCUUUUUGGAAUGCUACCCUUGCUGCUUUUAAUCCUGCAGAUUCAAAUGUCAUCUCCCCUUUGGUCAUGCCUUCCAUGGUCUGUUGUUCUAUGACCCAAACUGCCCUUUUAAAAAAGCAGUUUUCUUCUGACUCCUGAGCAGUUUGUACUGCGUGGGUCAUAGUAAUUCUGGGGUUGUUGUCAUUGCUGAUUUAAAUUACCUUAACUAUUCUGAGCUUUUUGAAGGAAUAGUGUCUUGUACUCCUGAGCUCCUAGUAUACUCUGAUGUCUAGCCAACUUUAAGUAAAUGGAGUGAGCGACAUGUAAAUGUCUUUAUGGUUUGACAUUUUAUUAAUCUUGAGCAUUGGAAAAGUGGCUGGUAUGACUAAAGAACUGAAUUUUUAUUUUUUAUCUAAUUUGAAUUGCAACUGUGGACAGUAUAGCUGUAGCCCCGGACUUGUUCUGUGGAUUACAGAAUACGUGGACAUUGAUGGUUUUCUCUUUUUACUGAGCAGUAAGGAAAUAAAAGCUGAAGCUCUCUGGCCCAUUACAUUUCAUUUAACUGCUUGUUUUGUUUUAUUUAUUAUAUAUUUAGCUGAAAGCUAAGUCCAACAAACCAUUUUUAAAGAUGUGCCUGCCUUGGACAACAGUGAAAGCAAGCGUUAAUGAGUUUGGAUUUCAAAAAAAAAUGCAUAAUGAAUUUUAGGGAGGUGUGGAAACAGGAAGAGAACUAGAACUGGAAGUAAAGCAUUGAAGAUGUGACUGAAUUGCUGCAAUCUCAUGAUCAAAUUUGAAUGGAUGAGGAGUUGCUUUUUAG
rnacentral:lncRNA from 1 species